rnacentral:lncRNA from 1 species
CAGCCCUAUAGGAGACACCUCCAGAGAAAGUAACAACUCUCAGUUGAUUAGCUGAGGUAUGUAUGUCAUUUAUGGCAAUACCUGUCUCCAUCCCCUCCGUCUUCUUCUAGGAGACCAAUUUUGUAAAUUGCUACUUUUCUAACAACAGUGGCACAGGUGGCCCAGCAUUCUCCCUUUUCUCAGAGCUGGUUUUCCAUCCUGGAAAGAGGUCUUACAUAUACAAAGUUACUCUAAUCAGUUGUUCUCCACCAGCAGAGAGCAGAGAAGAGGAGAAGCAGCUGGACGUCUCUUGACGUUGGAGAAAAGCAGCUUGACUUCAGAGGGACAGUUUGACAGCAUGGAUUCAGAAAGGAGAAGAUCACCUUCCUGCUCCAUCCC